rnacentral:rRNA from 1 species
AACGAACGCUGGCGGCAGGCUUAACACAUGCAAGUCGAACGCGUGUAGCAAUACACGAGUGGCGCACGGGUGAGUAACACGUGGAUAUCUGCCUUUUGGUUCGGAAUAACUCCGGGAAACUGGAGCUAAUACCGGAUGGUUCCUUCGGGAUAAAGAUUUAUCGCCAAAAGAUGAGUCCGCGCACGAUUAGCUAGUUGGUGAGGUAAUGGCUCACCAAGGCGACGAUCGUUAGCUGGUCUGAGAGGACGAUCAGCCACACUGGGACUGAGACACGGCCCAGACUCCUACGGGAGGCAGCAGUGGGGAAUAUUGGACAAUGGGGGCAACCCUGAUCCAGCCAUGCCGCGUGAGUGAUGAAGGCCUUCGGGUUGUAAAGCUCUUUUGGCGGGGACGAUGAUGACGGUACCCGCAGAAUAAGCCCCGGCUAACUUCGUGCCAGCCGCCGCAGUAAUAC